UUUCAACCUCCAGUGACAUCGAAUUCACUGGAAGUGAGUUAGAGGCUUGUGCGGAGGAUAAGAAAUAGUCGCUUAAAACUGAGGAGUUUGUGGGGUGGUGGGGAAAAAAGUACUUUCGGAUAAUCGGUGAUUAACGCCGAUCUGAGAAGUGGUCGGUGAACGAAUAAAAUUGCUAAUUUUAUAUACCAUCGGGAGUUUAGUCGGGUUUUGCGUCCACUUCAGGCGCCGCCCCCAGAUAAUUACUUUGGUCCGUACAAAUGCACUGGAAGCAUUUCGCAUCGUGACGCGCCCAUCUUACUGGGAGAGUUACCGUUUUGAUUUACUGCAACCUGACCCCCUACCUGCCCGUGGCACUGCAAGAACAAUCCCUUCCCUCUCCCCUACCCACCCCCUCUUGCUGUUCCUCACUCGCGGUGAAAAC